UAUUAAACUAGGGAUAGAUACCCUAUUAUUCUAAUUUAAAUUUAAAUAUAUUGGAGAUUAAAUGUGAAACAUUAAAUUUAGAUAAUUUGGCGGUAUCUUAAAAAGUUAGAGGAAUCUGUAAAUUAAAUGAUAAUCCACGAUAGGAUUGUCCUAAUAAAUUUUUAUGUAUUGUUGUUUAAAUAUUGAUUUAAAAGAAUUUAAUAGAAAUUUAUAAUAAUAAAAGAAUUCAAAUCAAAAUGUAGAGUUAUUAGGGUUAUAUGGAUUACAAUUUAAUUUAAUAUUGGAUUUUAAAAUUUUAAAUAUUUAAAUGAAAUAGGAUUUGAUAGUAAGAUUAUAAAAUAAUAUAAUUUGAAUUUUAUCUGAGAUAUGUACAAAUUGCCGUUCAUUUUCAAUA
rnacentral:rRNA from 1 species